GGCCGGCUGGCUCAGUUGGUUAGAGUGUGGUGUUGAUAACACCAAGAUCAAGGGUUUCAAUUCCCUUACUGGCCA